UGAACGCUGGCGGCGUGCUUAACCCAUGCAAGUCGAACGAUGAACUUCACUUGUGGCGGGAUUAGUGGCGAACGGGUGAGUAACACGUGAGUAACCUGCCCUUGACUCUGGGAUAAGCCUGGGAAACCGGGUCUAAUACUGGAUACGACCUUCUGGCGCAUGCCAUGUUGGUGGAAAGCUUUUGUGGUUUUGGAUGGACUCGCGGCCUAUCAGCUUGUUGGUGGGGUAAUGGCCUACCAAGGCGACGACGGGUAGCCGGCCUGAGAGGGUGACCGGCCACACUGGGACUGAGACACGGCCCAGACUCCUACGGGAGGCAGCAGUGGGGAAUAUUGCACAAUGGGCGCAAGCCUGAUGCAGCGACGCCGCGUGAGGGAUGAAGGCCUUCGGGUUGUAAACCUCUUUCAGUAGGGAAGAAGCCGGCCUUUUUGGGUUGGUGACGGUACCUGCAGAAGAAGCGCCGGCUAACUACGUGCCAGCAGCCGCGGUAAUACGUAGGGCGCAAGCGUUAUCCGGAAUUAUUGGGCGUAAAGAGCUCGUAGGCGGUUUGUCGCGUCUGCCGUGAAAGUCCGGGGCUUAACUCCGGAUCUGCGGUGGGUACGGGCAGACUAGAGUGCAGUAGGGGAGACUGGAAUUCCUGGU
rnacentral:rRNA from 1 species